GCCAGGCAUGGUGGCGCACACCUGUGGUCUCAGCUACUGGGUGGCUGAGGCAGGAGGAUCGCUGGAGCCCAGGAGUUCUAGGCUGCAGUGAGCCACAAUCGUGACACUGCACUCCAGCCUGGGCGACAGAGCAAGAUCUUGUCUCAA
ensembl:misc_RNA Metazoa_SRP Metazoan signal recognition particle RNA